UCUGCCUCAACUCCUUAUCAUUCACCUGUCCGGUGUUGAUUAAAUGGACUGGACGGAGAACUGAUAAGGGCUUGAGCAGAA
rnacentral:pre_miRNA from 1 species